rnacentral:rRNA from 1 species
UACGGGGGGGGCGAGCGUUAUUCGGAAUUAUUGGGCGUAAAGGGCGCGUAGGCGGCCUUGCAAGUCAAAGGUGAAAUCCCUCGGCUCAACUGAGGAACUGCCUUUGAAACUGCAAGGCUUGAGGCCGGGAGGGGGUAGCGGAAUUCCCAGUGUAGCGGUGAAAUGCGUAGAUAUUGGGGGGAACACCAGUGGCGAAGGCGGCUACCUGGACCGGUUCUGACGCUGAUGCGCGAAAGCGUGGGUAGCAAACAGG